rnacentral:rRNA from 1 species
AGCAGCCGCGGUAAUUCCAGCUCCAAUAGCGUAUAUUAAAGUUGUUGCAGUUAAAAAGCUCGUAGUUGAAUUUCGGGAUUAGUAGGUUGGUCGUGCCUCUGGUAUGUACUCGCCUUACUGGUUCCUCCUUCUUGAAGAACUGUAAUGCCAUUAAUUUGGUGUUGCAGGGAAACAGGACUGUUACUUUGAAAAAAUUAGAGUGUUUAAAGCAGGCCAAUGCCUGAAUACAUUAGCAUGGAAUAAUGAAAUAGGACGUUGAUCCUAUUUUGUUGGUUUCUAGGAUUGACGUAAUGAUUAAUAGGGAUAGUUGGGGGCAUUAGUAUUCAAUUGUCAGAGGUGAAAUUCUUGGAUUUAUUGAAGACUAACUACUGCGAAAGCAUUUGCCAAGGAUGUUUUCAUUAAUCAAGAACGAAAGUUAGGGGAUCGAAGACGAUCAGAUACCGUCGUAGUCUUAACCAUAAACUAUGCCGACUAGGGAUCGGAUGAUGUUAAUUUUUAAUGACUCAUUCGGCGCCUUACG